GACGAACGCUGGCGGCGUGCUUAACACAUGCAAGUCGAACGGAAAGGCCCUGCUUUUGUGGGGUGCUCGAGUGGCGAACGGGUGAGUAACACGUGAGUAACCUGCCCUUGACUUUGGGAUAACUUCAGGAAACUGGGGCUAAUACCGGAUAGGAGCUCCUGCUGCAUGGUGGGGGUUGGAAAGUUUCGGCGGUUGGGGAUGGACUCGCGGCUUAUCAGCUUGUUGGUGGGGUAGUGGCUUACCAAGGCUUUGACGGGUAGCCGGCCUGAGAGGGUGACCGGCGACAAUGGGACUGAGAUACGGCCCAGACUCCUACGGGAGGCAGCAGUGGGGAAUAGUGCACAAUGGGCGGAAGCAUGAUGCAGCAACGCCGCGUGCGGGAUGACGGCCUUCGGGUUGUAAACCGCUUUCGCCUGUGGCGAAGCGUGAGUGACGGUAAUGGGUAAAGAAGCACCGGCUAACUACGUG
rnacentral:rRNA from 1 species